UUUAUUUUUUCGUAUUCAACAUUUGACCAUUCGUCUUAUUUGAAAUUUUUUUGUGAUUAAUAAUUUUAUUAUUAUUAGAUGAUAAAAUAUGAAUAGUAUUUUAUAUGUGACUAAAUUAUUUAAGUUUUUGCAUAAAUUUUUCAAAUAAGACAAAUAGUCAAACGUUAGAUACGGAAAAACA
rfam:Oryza brachyantha chromosome 8, whole genome shotgun sequence.